UCUGUCUCCAUCCACUGACUGGUUAAAUUGCCCACAAGCAAAAGAGAAUUGUCUACAUAAAGAAAACUAGAAAACUGCUGUUCCUGGGAGUCAGGGAGUGGUAAGAAGUUGGGCAGAGGGGACAUAUCCAUUAUGUAAGGGACUGCUGAGGUAUUGUGAUGACAUGUUGGGCAAGGUGAGUGUUACAGCAGAUAUCACCCUGCCUUGAUGGGGCUGCUGUUCAAGCAGAACUUUAGGAAACUGGGGGUUCAGAUCUAGACAGAAAUGUGUUUUCUUGCUUUUUGGCUGCAUUCUGUUUCCACAGUUCUUUCUCUCUAUCCACCAGUGAAGAAUGAAAUUCAAGAGAGGAGGGAAUUCCUGGAAGAGAUGGAAGCUCUAGGACAGGGCAAGAAGUAUCAAGGGAUCAUCCUCACUGAAAUCUCACAGAAAUUGAAUGAGAUGAAGAGCAUUGACAAGAAGAGAAGUGAGGAAAUGAGAAAUAUCAUGACAAAAGCCUUCCCUGUUGGGAACAAAUCCAAUCUCCAAGACUAGGCCAAGGGCAAAACACAGGUGCAAUUUGUUCCCACCUAUUCUUCCCAGACUCUGGGAAUCAGAGGCUAGUCUGUGUCUGUUUCCAAAGAGGGGGCAGCACAAUCUGUUGCCAGAAACUAGAAGGCAGGACCAAUUUGUACAUACACAGUGACAGAAGUUGUAAAAUCCUUCCCACACACUGGAUCCCUUCUUGCUCCAUAAUAUUAAAGACAUGAAAACACACAGCAACAGCUCCCAAAACAUGACAAAGCAGAGCCUUCUUUUUCCUCUGCAGUGCCUCAGCAAUCCAUCCAUAGAAAUGUCAUUCCUUCCCGUCUCCCCAGAAGUGGAGUUUUCUCGUGACAGCGUGAUGGUAACACACACUGACACCAUACCUGUAACUGGCUUGCUCCUGGCCCUGUGAUGCCAGGAAUGUCUCUGGAGGAAGUGCAGCUGUACAGCCUUGUGUACUCACAAGCCCUUGGCAUUGCUGCAGGUCACUGUGACUGUGACCUGCGGCAUCAGCAAACCUCUGGUGGCAGCCCACUGGGCAGGAACUCAGGAACACAGCUGUGCCAAGCAGGGACAGGGAAUUUCACCCCAGUGGCUGCUGCUCUUUGCUGUGGACUUGCUGCGAUUUUUUGGUUCCUGAAAGCAUGGUAUGCAGAAUAGCCACUCUAUUCCCACAGAGACUGGAAAUGGCUGUUUGCUCAACCAUAAAUACUCACACCUCUGUCCUCCAGCAGGCUGAAGCAUUAUGUCCCACUUUUCCUGUGGAAAUCCCAGCAUAACGUCCAGUUUCCAAUUUCCUUAAGAUCUCAUCCUCUGCUUCUUAGCAAUACUCAGCCACUUUCCAAAGCCAGGCAGCAUGCCCUGGCCCUGGGACAGCACGAGUGCACAAAAGAAUGAGAAACCUAAUCCACAAUCA